rnacentral:snRNA from 1 species
AGCUUUGCACAGUGGCAGUAUCAUAGCCAAUGAGGUUUACCUGAGGCGCGAUUAUUGCUAAUUGAAAAUAUAUUGUUCAAAAUAAAUUUGUCACAAAAGUUUUAAGAUAGUAUUUUAU